rnacentral:rRNA from 1 species
GAUGAACGCUAGCGGCAGGCCUAAUACAUGCAAGUCGGACGGGAUUGGAGAGCUUGCUUUCCAUGAGAGUGGCGCACGGGUGCGUAACACGUAUGCAACCUACCUUUGCCAGGGGGAUAGCCUCUCGAAAGAGAGAUUAACACCGCAUAAAAUUAGUUUAUGGCAUCAUAAAUUGAUCAAAUAUUUAUAGGGUAAAGAUGGGCAUGCGGAACAUUAGCUAGUUGGUAAGGUAACGGCUUACCAAGGCGACGAUGUUUAGGGGAUCUGAGAGGAUGACCCCCCACACUGGUACUGAGACACGGACCAGACUCCUACGGGAGGCAGCAGUAAGGAAUAUUGGUCAAUGGGCGCAAGCCUGAACCAGCCAUGCCGCGUGCAGGAAGACGGCCCUACGGGUUGUAAACUGCUUUUGUACGGGAAUAAACCCUGAUACGUGUAUCAGGCUGAAUGUACCGUAAGAAUAAGGAUCGGCUAACUCCGUGCCAGCAGCCGCCGUAA